AACAGGAUUAGAUACCCUGGUAGUCCACGCCGUAAACGAUGUCGACUUGGAGGUUGUGCCCUUGAGGCGUGGCUUCCGGAGCUAACGCGUUAAGUCGACCGCCUGGGGAGUACGGCCGCAAGGUUAAAACUCAAAUGAAUUGACGGGGGCCCGCACAAGCGGUGGAGCAUGUGGUUUAAUUCGAUGCAACGCGAAGAACCUUACCUACUCUUGACAUCCAGAGAACUUAGCAGAGAUGCUUUGGUGCCUUCGGGAACUCUGAGACAGGUGCUGCAUGGCUGUCGUCAGCUCGUGUUGUGAAAUGUUGGGUUAAGUCCCGCAACGAGCGCAACCCUUAUCCUUUGUUGCCAGCGGUCCGGCCGGGAACUCAAAGGAGACUGCCAGUGAUAAACUGGAGGAAGGUGGGGAUGACGUCAAGUCAUCAUGGCCCUUACGAGUAGGGCUACACACGUGCUACAAUGGCGCAUACAAAGAGAAGCGACCUCGCGAGAGCAAGCGGACCUCAUAAAGUGCGUCGUAGUCCGGAUUGGAGUCUGCAACUCGACUGCGUGAAGUCGGAAUCGCUAGUAAUCGUGAAUCAGAAUGUCACGGUGAAUACGUUCCCGGGCCUUGUACACACCGCCCGUCACACCAUGGGAGUGGGUUGCUCCAGAAGUAGCUAGUCUAACCGCAAGGGGGACGGUUACCACGGAGUGAUUCAUGACUGGGGUGAAGUCGUAACAAGGUAGCCGUA
rnacentral:rRNA from 1 species